UACGUAGGGGGCAAGCGUUGUCCGGAAUCAUUGGGCGUAAAGCGCGUGUAGGCGGCUCGAUAAGUCUGCUGUGAAAGUUCAGGGCUCAACCCUGAAAUGCCGGUGGAAACUGUCGAGCUAGAGUCCGGAAGAGGCGAGUGGAAUUCCUGGUGUAGCGGUGAAAUGCGCAGAUAUCAGGAGGAACACCAAUGGCGAAGGCAGCUCGCUGGGACGGUACUGACGCUGAGACGCGAAAGCGUGGGGAGCAAACAGG
rnacentral:rRNA from 2 species